rnacentral:rRNA from 1 species
GCGGAAGGGAAAAAAGAAACCCAACUGGGGAUUGCCCUAGUACGGCGAGUGAAGCGGCAAUAGCUCAAAUUUGAAAUCUGGCUCCCUUUGGGGGGUCCGAGUUGUAAUUUGCAGAGGGUGCUUUGGCGUUGGGUGGCGGUCUAAGUUCCUUGGAACAGGACAUCGCAGAGGGGUGAGAAUCCCGUUUGUGGUCGCCUGCCUUCGCCGUGUAAAGCCCCUUCGACGAGUCGAGUUGUUUGGGAAUGCAGCUCUAAAUGGGAGGUAAAUUUCUUCUAAAGCUAAAUACUGGCCAGAGACCGAUAGCGCACAAGUAGAGUGAUCGAAAGAUGAAAAGCACUUUGGAAAGAGAGUCAAACAGCACGUGAAAUUGUUGAAAGGGAAGCGCUUGCAGCCAGACUUGCCCGUAGUUGCUCACCCAGGCUUUUGCCCGGGGCACUCUUCUGCGGGCAGGCCAGCAUCAGUUUGGGCGGUCGGAUAAAGGCCUCUGUCACGUAUCUUCCUUCGGGAUGACCUUAUAGGGGAGGCGACAUGCGACCAGCCCGGACUGAGGUCCGCGCUUCUGCUAGGAUGCUGGCGUAAUGGCUGUAAGCGGCCCGUCUUGAAACACGGACCAAGGAGUCUAACAUCUAUGCGAGUGUUUGGGUGUCAAGCCCGAGCGCGUAAUGAAAGUGAACGGAGGUGGGAACCCUUUGGGUGCACCAUCGACCGAUCCUGAUGUCUUCGGAUGGAUUUGAGUAAGAGCAUAGCUGUUGGGACCCGAAAGAUGGUGAACUAUGCUUGAAUAGGGUGAAGCCAGAGGGAAACUCUGGUGGAGGCUCGCAGCGGUUCUGACGUGCAAAUCGAUCGUCAAAUUUGGGCAUAGGGCGAAAGACUAAUCGAACUAUCUAGUAGCUGGAUCUGCGAAGU